AGAUAGUCUGAGGAACAACUUCAAGUCCGGGGAUCUGUUCUUUUUCCUUCCUUUUCCAUUUUGGAUGGAUGUAGACUACACUCUUGGUCUUUUCCCAACCUAAGUGCAUUGGUAGGACUCUGUUUACCAAUGACAGAAGAAGGCCAGAACCUUUGGGAAUCCAGUGCUAUUGGAAGUAAAGGAUGCCCUCACCCACUCAUGCAUGAUGAUGUACCUCUAUGGGAACGACCCUUGCUCUCGUCAUGCCUGAUUCUUUGCUAAGUGAAGAAGCCAUUCAAAAGUCUCCAAUUCAGCUCCCUGGCAUUUAGUAAACCACAAGCUGCUGUUCCUUUUCUUGAAGAAGUCAGUUUGGUGGAGGGGCCAAGAAAAAUUAGCCCAACUGAUGAUUGCAAUCUCGAAAGAAAAUAUGCUUUUUAUCAGAGACCACAUGUUGCCAAUGCCAAUUAAAGAAAAACUGGGAGAUUUAAUCAGAUACCAGCUUGGGGAGGAAAAAUGAUGAGCCAGGUAUAAAAA